rnacentral:ncRNA from 12 species
UGACCGCUUCUAUUUUUUAGAGGUUCAGGGCCUACGGACAGCCCGGUCAACUGCCGA